GCGUUGUCCGGAAUCAUUGGGCGUAAAGCGCGUGUAGGCGGCUCGAUAAGUCCGGUGUGAAACCUUGGGGCUCAACCCCAAGCCUGCACUGGAUACUGCCGAGCUAGAGUCCGGGAGGGGAGAGCGGAAUUCCUAGUGUAGCGGUGAAAUGCGCAGAUAUUAGGAAGAACACCGGUGGCGAAGGCGGCUCUCUGGAACGGUACUGACGCUGAGACGCGAAAGCGUGGGGAGCGAACAGGAUUAGAUACCCUGGUAGUCCACGCCGUAAACGAUGGGCACUAGAUGUGGGCGGUGUCGACUCCGUCCGUGUCGAAGCUAACGCAUUAAGUGCCCCGCCUGGGGAGUACGGCCGCAAGGCUAAAACUCAAAGGAAUUGACG
rnacentral:rRNA from 1 species